UAGGCUACACUUAAACUCUCAUAUCAAGUCAAAAGAUGUCUUUUGAUCAGCUGGAUGAUCGACAGACAGGUACGGCGUCUGCCUCGAGUAGGGGUUUCUGCACACGUUGCCGUCAGGACUGAAUUUACUGAGGCAGAAAGAGUCUCAAGUCUCUCUCGUUCCAGGCUGAGAAUCAAUGCCACAUUGAUUUUCCUAUCAAUGGACAUUAUCAUAGAUCAGGCAUCUGCUAGCACUGGCCUCAAUCCACGUGCCGCCUGUUGCCACGGGGACAGAGAGAUUUCAUCACUCCUCGCUCUCUGACAGACAGACUGACAGAGAGAGAGAUGGCUAAAAAGCAAGGGAUGGCAGGGAAAUGCAUGCACACACGCAGAGUAGAGGAUCAAUACCUGAAGUGCAGAGGAUAUUGAGUCAGAGGGGAUGUUGGAUUUGACUACCGGAGGAAAAAAAAGUGCAGCUUUUGUCACCGAGCAAGCAGUGGAAGCUGUGAAGCCUGAGGCCUAAUGACCAUUUCAGAGCUCUCUCGCUUAAACGUGACAUCCACUUUCCUCUGUAUCACAUACCCCGUGCUUGAAUUUGCACAGUAUGACUCAUGGACAUACAAGUGACACCUUGCAGAUUGUGUGGACUGGGUUCAAGUAAACAGACAGAAGCUCUGGACACCGUAGGCUGUGCAGUUAACCCAUGG
ensembl:lncRNA